rnacentral:rRNA from 1 species
UACGAGGGGGGCGAGCGUUGUUCGGAAUUAUUGGGCGUAAAGAGCUCGUAGGCGGUUUGUCGCGUCUGCUGUGAAAACCUAAGGCUCAACCUUGGGCUUGCAGUGGGUACGGGCAGACUAGAGUGCGGUAGGGGUGACUGGAAUUCCUGGUGUAGCGGUGGAAUGCGCAGAUAUCAGGAGGAACACCGGUGGCGAAGGCGGGUCUCUGGGCAGUAACUGACGCUGAGGAGCGAAAGCGUGGGGAGCGAACAGG